rnacentral:lncRNA from 1 species
GCUGUGAGUCGCACCACACUUCGCUCCAUUUGCAACGUGCUGAAUGAGGGAGGUCUCUGCGGCAGCCGCUGUGAGUCGCACCACACUUCGCUCCAUUUGCAACGUGCUGAAUGAGGGAGGUCUCUGCGGCAGCCGCUGUGAGUCGCACCACACUUCGCUCCAUUUGCAACGUGCUGAAUGAGGGAGGUCUCUGCGGCAGCCGCUGUGAGUCGCACCACACUUCGCUCCAUUUGCAACGUGCUGCAUGAAGGAGGUCUCUGCAGCAGCCGCUGUGAGUCGCACCACACUUCGCUCCAUUUGCAACGUGCUGCAUGAGGGAGGUCUCUGCGGCAGCCGCUGUGAGUCGCACCACAC